rnacentral:rRNA from 1 species
UACAGAGGUCUCGAGCGUUAGGCGGAAUCACUGGGCUUAAAGCGUGUGUAGGCGGAUCGUUAAGUGCCUUGUGAAAUCCCACGGCUCAACCGUGGAACUGCUUGGCAUACUGGCGGUCUUGAGCAACCUAGGGGCGAGCGGAACUAAUGGUGGAGCGGUGAAAUGCGCAGAUAUCAGGAAGAACACCAAUGGCGAAAGCAGCUCUCUGGGACGGUACUGACGCUGAGACGCGAAAGCGUGGGGAGCGAACAGG